CCGCCCCGUUCUUCCCACAUCUCAUCCAGCCUUGAAAUACUUGGAACUCGUUCUGCUCAGAUUGGCUACAACUAAAAUAAAGGAGUCGUGUUUUUAGUCAAGGGUGGUGAAGACAAACUGUAUAGACAAAAGCUGAAUCCUGGAUCAAUCUGAAAGAAAGUGCUACUUGAGGGCGUUCGUUCGUUCGUUCGUUCGUGAGCGUCAUCCGACUCGAGUUCAGCAGAGCCACGAACAAACUCGAUACUCAGGGGCUCAACAUUCAGAUUCUCGAGCUCAGAGGGUGAACGAGCAAGUUCACAACCCUCGCGGAAAAUGAGAAAACGGGUUUCCAAGUGGAUCGUAAUGGAUUUUCAAGCACAGCCAAGGAAGCAAGAAACUGUGCAAGACAGACACACACCGACCGACAGACAGACGGACAGACAAACUGAGCGAGUCACUUUUUGGGGUCCGUGAACAUUGUUGGCCCACCCUUUCUUUCCCCCUCGUUCUUUGCUUCUCCGACCACUUCUCCGCUUCGCUAAUGCUCCAUUUCUGGCCCUUGUCUGUGAAUGUUUAGCUUUGUCAUGUUGCUUCGGCAGUCAGUCCAUCCACCGCCGAAGACUAGUCGUCGUCAGUCUCUCUGUGCCUACUUACUCGUACACUCGUGCAACAACAACAUGGGGGUGAGCCGAUGGGAUUUGAACAACGCAGGGGCAGGGGGGAUGAAGUCGGAGUGAGUCUCGUUAUUGACGAUUCUAGCCUUUCUUCCCCAAGAAAAAGAAGAAGAAGCGGAAGAAAGAAAUUCUUGAAUGUUCACAACAAAUGGCACCUGGUUGGGCUUUUUCAUAGUGGAAGUAUCACGAAGCUUCUUCAUUCGGGAAAACGAUCACAAGGAACAGGCGCGUCCGUAUCCCUAGACUAAGAACACCAACAACACGACCAAGCUUGAGGAAUGCGAGAAAAUCGUGAAUGAACACAGGGGUGGAUGGGUGUUCAUUGAGAAUCUCUAUUCACUCUAAUCACGAGCUGUCUUUCCGAUCUGGUUGGAUCUCUAUGAUCUCAAAGGGUCACAAGCGGUCAGACGGUAAACAUUGCUGACAUUGGUUGGAAAGGCCAUCCCUCCCAUCAUCCCUCCGUGCAUCCAUCUAAUGAACGACCUGGCCCACUCAUCCUAUCCCCCGAAUGACUGACUACCUACCUGGAAACACGUAUUUGAGCUCCGAGGCGUGAUAGAUUUGAUGGCUCCGGGGUUGAGUAAUGCACUGAAACAUGAUGCCCACGGUCGAACUUAUUGAUCAGUGAUCACCGGGGGAUCAUCCCAUGGCACAAGCGGCUAAUUUCCUUUAACACCAGCACUCAUUGAGCACCUCAUUGAGCAUGAAGACAUGCACUGGUUGGACUUUCGAAAUGGCGAAUAUGAUUUAAAGAAGUACAUGGAUGCCACGACCACCUCCAAGAUGAACUAUUCGUUCAUCUCUGAACUCUCUCGGCUGCCCGAUGCGAUCGAAGCGUCGUUCGUUCGUUCGUUCGUUCUUUGGAGAUUCACUCUCUUAGUCACUCGUUCGUUCACUCAGUUGUUACUCACUCACUCCCCUGCUUCUCAGUCUGUCUCUCGCUCUCUCACCGAAGCAGAUAGACCAGUAGACUUGUACGUAAUACUGUAGUUGACUGAAACCCAAGAUUUGCCUCCUGCUCCUGCUCCUCCUCUUCCUCUCCCUCGUCCACAUUGCUUCCUUCAACUUGGACGCCUCUGGACGGUGAACAGACCACCUCAACACCACCAUCAUCAUCACCACCACCACCAUCACCACCACCCGCACUGCUACAGCAGUAAGCAGUAAAUCGCGUGUUUUGUGUGUUGCUUUUUAGCCAUUGGGAGAAUUGGGAGGCACGCCUAGAAUUGGACGGCACCCGAAAAAUGCACGACCAACAGGAGGAGCAGGAGGCUGAAACGCUCACUCACCACUGAUGGCAGCAACAGCAACAGCAACAGCAGCAACAACAACAGCAACACCGGUUAACUGGAUGGACCGGGGCAGCACCAACCAUUUGGUUUAAAAUAAAUGCAUCAAGUGUUAAGUAUAACAAACUUACUCAGUCCUAACUUUAAAAGGUGUGGAAAAACUCAAGAAUGGAUGCCCAUGAUUCAAAAGGCGCCAGAACAUUCAUAUGUGUAAGUAAAACAGCCGGCCCUAAUUCCUCUGCUGGUUAUGAUUCAGCUUUUGCAUUUCAUAAUAUCCUCGGCAUCACUUUCUUCCCCGGCUUGGCAAUUUGAUGAAUGAGACGACAGCCCAAGUGUGAUCCAUGCAUGACGAGGAUGAAGUACGGAGACAACAUGGCUUUGAAACAAAAUCAGCCUGGCAUUCUUUCACUUCGUUGGAGCUCUUAUACUAUACAGAAAACAAGUGGGCGAAAAAAUGCUCAAUUUUGGGUUCAUUCAGGAUAUAUUGUGUAAUUUGUACCAAGAAUUGAUACAUUUUAUGACUUCCCAAGGCAAGCCCACAUAUUCAUAUGAAUCUAGAACUCUUCCAAGCUUUCUUGAACUCUUCUUGCAUUCAUAUACAUUGAGAUGGAUCCGAGACAACUGGAGAAAUAGACUCAAAACGGACGUGACAAUUUGCUUUAUCGUAUACCGUUCAAUUUAUCCAAAAUAAGAACAUCAUGCAAUCAAAAGAUCUGGCCAAAUAAACUAACUUG